CCUCUGCAGGUUGCUUUUGGUCGUGGUAUUUAUCACAGUAACAGGAACCAAGAUGGUACACCGAGUCGUGUCAAAAUCUCUUGGCUUGAGACAAGUACAUGGAAUGUUUUGCUGGAAAGAAAUUGUGGUUAGCUCAGCCUUAUACAUUGUAAUUGGAGGGUCCCUGCCUUAGUUUCUUUUCAUGUUGUUGUAAUAAAUACUUUGACAAAAGCAACUUAAGGGAGGAAGGGCCUAUUCGGGCUCAGUUCAGGUUGCAAUCCAUCACUGCGGGAAAGUCACAGAGGUAGGAGCAGUCAAGAGAGGGGUGAGGGCAUGCUUAGCUCGCUCUCCCUGUUUAUAUAAUCCAGAAUUCCUUGACCAGUGAAUGGUCCCACCUGAUAGGGGAUGUACUUCUGUAUGUAUGUUUCUCUUGUUGGUUGAUGAAUCAAACACUGUUUGGCCAAUAGAGGCAGGAAGAUAGGUGGGACUGGGAGACGAGGGGAAUUCUGGGAAAGGUAGACAGAGAGAGACCGAAAAGAGAUGCCAUGUAGCCACCAAAGGAGAAACAGGUCCAGACAAUCUCCGGUAAGCCAAGACCAUGUGGAAAUACAUAGAACUAUAGAAAUAGGUUAAUCGUUAAGAUGGAGCUAGCUGAUAAGAAGCCCUAGCCAUCGGCCAACAGUUUUACAAUUAAUCUCUGUGUGCUCAUUUGGGGCUGAAGCGUUGGGACCUGGCAGGACAAGAAAACUCCAGCAACACCCACCCACAAUUGAGAUGGGUCUUCCCACAUCAGUUAGCAUCCUCAAGAUAAUCCUCUACAGGCAUACUCAGGGACCCAUCUCCAGGACAGUCUAGAUUCUGUCAGGCAGACAGUCAAUGCCAACCACCAGAGCCUCAGACCAGCUAUAAAAUGCUUCUGCCUAGAAACUGCACAUAUUACUUUGAGUCUGGCUUUAUUGGAGAUGGAUAGUGAGACAGCCCCACUUCACCCAGCUGCAAAGGAGGGCUGGCCAGUUCUUGAGAGUCAUAGCUGUUACCACUGCCACACUACAAUGGCAUCAUCUCAUUGGCUAAUCAUAGACUGGAGCUGUCAAAAGACACUCAAAGUCAAACUGCAAAGUCCUGGGCCUCAAGGUAUCCUGUGUGUCAGAGGAACACUAGCCUCCAGAGAAGGUCGGCAGACGAGGAGGGGCCGCCACCCCGAGGUGACCAGCUGCCACGCUCUGGAUUUCUUCCCUGCCUUAAAGAAGAAUAAUCAUAAGUCAGCGAGAGAGGGUUUAAAAAAACACGCCGUCGUCGCGGCAGUCUGGCACCCCCAACCGGGACCGCGGGAAUCUUCCUCUGGAGGCCAGGAUGCUGGGGCGGCCAGGCGGAGGCUGAGUGGACCAGGGGAGGGAGCUGGCUGGGGUCCGAGGCUGUCCCCGGGCCCCACCCCAGCCUCUCGGGUCACACAGCCUCAGUUUCCCCCUGGGGGCUAG
rnacentral:lncRNA from 1 species